AAGUUCCUCCUCUUCAAUUGCAGGUUUUUCAUCUUUCUCUCCAACAACUAGUUCUUCAGGUUUCUCUUCAAGUGCCAGUUCUUCAGGUGUUUCCUCCUUUGCCAGCUCUUCAGGUGUUUCCUCCUUUGCCAGCUCUUCAGGUGUUUCUUUAGCUGCCGGUUCUUCAGGUUUCUCUUCAACCUCCGGUUCUUGUGGUAUUUCCUCUACUUGUACUUCAGAUUUCUCCUCAAUUGUUGGUUCUUCAGGUUUCUCUCUAACCGCUGCUGCAUUAGGUUUCUCUUCAUUGGCUGGUUCUUCAGGUUUUUCUUCAACUACCGAUUCUUCAGGAUUUUCCUCAAUGUUUGGAAAGGGAGCGACAUCAUUAUUGGUAUUGCAUGGAAUUUCACUGCCAGUUUUGUCAUUCAAGUCCACAACUAGUAUAUUCUGCAAAAGAGUUUAAUGUUUCACUUAGUCUUUCAAUAAAGAAGCAGAUGCGAAUCAUUACAUAUACAUAACUAAUAACAUGGAUAAACUUUAUGACAGUAGUUGACCCUUACCUUUUCCACAAGAGUUACUUU
rnacentral:lncRNA from 1 species